rnacentral:rRNA from 1 species
UCGGGAAUUUUGGGCAAUGGGCGAAAGCCUGACCCAGCAACGCCGCGUGAGGGAUGAAGUAUUUCGGUAUGUAAACCUCGAAAGAAUGGGAAGAAUAAAUGACGGUACCAUUUAUAAGCUCCGGCUAACUACGUGCCAGCAGCCGCGGUAAUACGUAGGGAGCAAGCGUUGUUCGGAUUUACUGGGCGUAAAGGGCGCGUAGGCGGCGCGGUAGUCACUUGUGAAAUCUCUGAGCUUAACUCAGAACGGCCAAGUGAUACUGCUGUGCUAGAGUGCGGAAGAGGCAACCGGAAUUCUUGGUGUAGCGGUGAAAUGCGUAGAUAUCAAGAGGAACACCUGAGGCGAAGGCGGGUUGCUGGGCCGACACUGACGCUGAUGCGCGAAAGCCAGGGGAGCAAACG